rnacentral:rRNA from 1 species
UACGUAGGUGGCAAGCGUUAUCCGGAAUUAUUGGGCGUAAAGAGCGCGCAGGUGGUUGAUUAAGUCUGAUGUGAAAGCCCACGGCUUAACCGUGGAGGGUCAUUGGAAACUGGUCGACUUGGGUGCAGAAGAGGGAAGUGGAAUUCCAUGUGCAGCGGUGAAAUGCGUAGAGAUAUGGAGGAACACCAGUGGCGAAGGCGGCUUCCUGGUCUGUAACUGACACUGAGGCGCGAAAGCGUGGGGAGCAAACAGGAUUAGAUA